rnacentral:rRNA from 1 species
GGGCCCGCACAAGCGGAGGAACAUGUGGUUUAAUUCGAUGAUACGCGAGGAACCUUACCCGGGUUUGAACGCAUUUUGACAGGGGCGGAAACGUCCUCUCCAGCAAUGACAAUUUGCGAGGUGCUGCAUGGUUGUCGUCAGCUCGUGCCGUGAGGUGUCGGCUUAAGUGCCAUAACGAGCGCAACCCCUAUCGUCAGUUACCAGCACGUAAAGGUGGGGACUCCGGCGAGACUGCCCGCGUAAGCGGUGAGGAAGGCGGGGAUGACGUCAAAUCAGCACGGCCCUUACAUCCGGGGCGACACACGUGUUACAAUGGCAGGGACAAAGGGCAGCCACUCAGCGAUGAGGCGCAAAUCCCGUAAACCCUGUCUCAGUUCGGAUCGGAGUCUGCAACUCGACUCCGUGAAGCCGGAUUCGCUAGUAAUCGCGCAUCAGCCAUGGCGCGGUGAAUACG